GUGUCAGCCGCCGCGGUAAUACGGAGGGGGCUAGCGUUGUUCGGAAUGACUGGGCGUAAAGCGCGCGUAGGCGGAUGGACAAGUUGGGGGUGAAAGCCCGGGGCUCAACCUCGGAACUGCCUUCAAAACUGUUCAUCUAGAGGCCGGGAGAGGGCAGUGGAAUUCCCAGUGUAGAGGUGAAAUUCGUAGAUAUUGGGAAGAACACCGGUGGCGAAGGCGGCUGCCUGGACCGGACCUGACGCUGAAGUGCGAAAGCGUGGGGAGCAAACAGGAUUAGAUACCCUGGUAGUCCACGCCGUAAACGAUGGGUGCUAGAUGUCGGGGGUCUUAGGCCUUCGGUGUCGCAGCUAACGCGUUAAGCACCCCGCCUGGGGAGUACGGCCGCAAGGUUAAAACUUAAAUGAAUUGACGGGG
rnacentral:rRNA from 1 species